GAUGAACGCUGGCGGCGUGCUUAACACAUGCAAGUCGAACGAUGAACCGGGUGCUUGCACUCGGGGAUUAGUGGCGAACGGGUGAGUAACACGUGAGCAACCUGCCCCUGACUCUGGGAUAAGCGCUGGAAACGGCGUCUAAUACUGGAUAUGUCCCGUCACCGCAUGGUGUGCGGGUGGAAAGAUUUUUCGGUUGGGGAUGGGCUCGCGGCCUAUCAGCUUGUUGGUGAGGUAAUGGCUCACCAAGGCGUCGACGGGUAGCCGGCCUGGGAGGGUGACCGGCCACACUGGGACUGGGACACGGCCCAGACUCCUACGGGAGGCAGCAGUGGGGAAUAUUGCACAAUGGGCGGAAGCCUGAUGCAGCAACGCCGCGUGGGGGAUGACGGCCUUCGGGUUGUAAACCUCUUUUAGCAGGGAAGAAGCGAGAGUGACGGUACCUGCAGAAAAAGCACCGGCUAACUACGUGCCAGCCGCCGCGGUAA
rnacentral:rRNA from 1 species